AGUAAAACAAGUGAAAUGCACAUCUGCUGCUGACCUUGCACUCAUAAGUACACCUUCAAACGCAACAAACAUGUCCCUCUUCUUCAUGAUAUCCACCAUGGCAUUAGAUUCACAAACAUAAUAUUAAUUUUUGCAGCAAUGCAAGGUUUACUAAACACACAUUUUGCUGUAUUGAUUUUCUUGGAUAAGAGAGAACGUGGGAGCCCCAUUCUUACCAAUUUUUUGGAUCAUCGCCUCGCCUAUCCUGCAACCUAGCAAGCAACCACAAAGGUAAUCAUGAAUUUAUAGCAACUAUAAUCGGUCAUGAGAAAACAAUAUAAGAAAUUGUCAUGUGCAAGCUCUCGGUUCUUUGCCAGGUUUUGGCGGGGACGGAGAAGCAUACCCAGAGAAAAUUUGUACCGCAUGUCAGCUCCUGGUUAGCACCGGUAUUGAAGGAAGCCCAGCCAUCUCGCGAGCGGCCUCCUUGGAACUUCGAUCUCCACUAACACUUCGACCCUGAGAAGCACAAAGAGCUGAAGAUGAUAUUAGUAGCACAAUCAUUUCUCAUCAUCCUUGCAUUUUGUAAGUACCGAGGUUCAGAAAUAAAUACAAUCACUCAUAAUUGAGAUGUAGCACGUUUCUAAACGACACUAAAAUAAACAGAAGUAAAAUAAGUAUGUGUAUGUGCAGAAUCAUCAGCAAUACUGUGAGACAUGGUAUAAUGCUAGAUAUUAGAUAUGAUAAAAAAGACCAUAGAUAAAAAAACACAGGAAAUCACUCAACAAAACUUGCAAAACAUGUUAGAUAAACAGAUUUGGCGUUCAUGUCUCGCAGCAAAUAUCGACAAAAUGGAGUUGCAGAAAGCACUCACAUUGCGCAUGAACACCAAAUCUGUUCUUGUGCACCACCUCCCUUCUGUUGAACAACCAUGACAUACCCCAUUUUUACAAAGGCAAAAUAAGAUCACAAUAACAGUGACAGAGGACUGAAGAAAACUCAAAAUGGGAUGUAUGUAAUGGAAAUGCUUGAACCUAUACUUGCAUAGUUAUAUUCAAUGCAUAUAAAAUAAAGCUAAUAAUGGCGAAAUCCAAAUGAAAAUGAUGUCUAUGUUUUAGAGGAGAAAGUGAGAAAAACCAGCUGGGCAUGGUAAAAUAUAUUAACCUGUAGCCUAGCAUUACUACCAAAGAAAAUGGAGCCACCGAUCAUGUCAAUGGAAACAUACAUAAAGUGUUUUACUUAUUUUCACGACUCAUUCUUCAUAUUUAUGUGCUUUCCAAAUAAAAGGUACAUUAAAGCCUUGUGUCUUAUGAAAUCAUCAUGACACUACACUUCACAAAGUUUUAUAUGAAUCACGGUGAUAAGGAACCAUCCAACCAUACGAAAAAGAUAUCAUCAAAGCAUGUGGAGAUAGCUACAUUGUUUUGUACUUUAAGAAGAGGGUUGCAUGAUUUGUCAGUAUGAAACAUAUGGAGGAACCAAUCUGGGGAAAUGUCCACCUGGUUAAGAAGAGAUACCUAGUUACUGGGAAUCAUCUAAUGAUCCAACCACCACCAGCCCUGACGAUGCUUUGCCCUUGCAAAGAAC
rnacentral:lncRNA from 1 species